rnacentral:lncRNA from 1 species
UUAUUGUAUCCUUGUAAUUUUUGGGUUAUAUAGUUGGUAUUUGGUUCUUUGAUGUUUGUAGCUCUGGGGUUAUGGUUUAGAAAGGUUUGUACUCUGUAUAUAUUUUCUAUGUAUUUCUGGGCGGUGUAGUUGUAUACUUUUUUGUCUUGGUUUAGGCUAUCUCGGUAUGUGUUAACUUGUGGGGGUAUGAAUAAAUGGUCUUUUUGUGUUUUUAGGGUAAAUGGUUUUUCAAAUAUUUUAUUCAUAUUUGCAUUGUGGUAUCUUGGCCUAUUAACUCCUUUGCUUGUACCUGCAGAAGUA